UACGUAGGGGCAAGCGUUGUCCGGAUUUAUUGGGCGUAAAGAGCUCGUAGGCGGUUUGGUAAGUCUGGUGUGAAAUCUCCACGCUCAACGUGGAGGGCCACCCGAUACUGCCAUGACUGGAGUCCGGUAGAGGAGUGUGGAAUUCCCGGUGUAGCGGUGAAAUGCGCAGAUAAUCGGGAGGAACACCCGUAGCGAAGGCGGCACUCUGGGCCGAU
rnacentral:rRNA from 1 species